GGUUGGAUCAUUAAUAAUUUGAGUCUCGGACUCCCAGUGGGGCCCGCUUCGGCGGGCCUCUCUACACACCUGUGAACUGUUUUGUCUUUGGACAACCUACACUUUUUUAUACUGACUGAAUCAAUGAGAUUAAUUAAAAAACAACUUUUAACAACGGAUCUCUUGGCUCUCGCAACGAUGAAGAACGCAGCGAAAUGCGAUACGUAAUGUGAAUUGCAGACCGUGAAUCAUCUAAUCUUUGAACGCAUAUUGCGCUCUCUGGUAUUCCGGAGAGCAUGCCUGUUUGAGAAUCGAUCAACCCAUCAUGCCUUGCGGCGUCCGACCCCGUGUCGGGUGCCCUGGACGUGGAUUUGGACAGUGCACUACUUGUGGUGCUUGUCUGUAAGUUAGCGUUGACCUUGGCGCCAGUGUUUUCAAGGAGUCGUGUUUACUUGCAUUUAUGCAUUGAGGCGAGUCGUUGGAAAGCUGUGCUGCCGUCAGGGGCAAUUCCCCACCGAGGCCUUCGGGCCUUACCCGCACUUUACAGUGUAUCUUGGUCUCAAAUCAGGCAAGAGUACCCGCUGAACUUAAGCAUAUCAAUAAGCGGAGGAAAAGAAACUAACAAGGAUUCCCCUAGUAACGGCGAGUGAAGCGGGAAGUGCUCAAAUUUGAAAUCUCGCAAGCUUCUUGCGCGAAUUGUAGUUUAGAGAAGUGUUUUCGGGGGUAAACUGAGCAUAAGUCUUCUGGAACGAAGCAUCGUAGAGGGUGAUAAUCCCGUCUUUGGUUCAGACCUUACUUUCAUGUGAUACACUUUCAAAGAGUCGGGUUGUUUGGGAAUGCAGCCCAAAAUGGGUGGUAAACACCAUCUAAAGCUAAAUAACGGCGAGAGACCGAUAGCGAACAAGUACCGUGAGGGAAAGAUGAAAAGAACUUUGAAAAGAGAGUUAAAAAGUACGUGAAAUUGUUAAAAGGGAAACGUUUGAAACCAGUAUUGGGAGGAAGUAGUCAUCUGUGCUUUCGAGCUAAGGUGCUCCUACUUUUUGCCAAGUCAACAUCAGUUUGACUUGGAGUAAACACUGUCAGGAAGGUAGCCUUCGGGUAUUAUAGCCUGGCAGCAUGCUCCGGGUUGGACUGAGGAUUGCAGUGUAACCUAGGGGGAACCCUUCGCCUUUUGCAGGGCCUUGGAAAACAGCGUGCUGAUUUUCACGGACUGAAUAAAGCUCGGGGGGUGUACCACUUUUACGCUUAAGAUGUUGACGAAAUGGUUUUAAGCGACCCGUCUUGAAACACGGACCAAGGAGUCUAACACAUAUGCGAGUAUUUGGGUGGCAAACCCAUGUGCGUAAUGAAAGUGAUGAGGUGGGAUCUUAGGAGCACCAUCGACCGGUCUGGACAUUUUUAGAUAGAUCUGAGUAAGAGCAUAUUUGCUGGGACCCGAAAGAUGGUGAACUAUGCCUGAAUAGGGUGAAGCCAGAGGAAACUCUGGUGGAGGCUCGUAGCGAUUCUGACGUGCAAAUCGAUCGUCAAAUUUGGGUAUAGGGGCGAAAGACUAAUCGAACCAUCUAGUAGCUGGUUCCCUC
rnacentral:misc_RNA from 1 species